GUCACUUUAGCUUAGUGGCAGAACGUCUGCUUUGAAAGCAGUAGGUCGUCAGUUCGAUUCUGGUAAGUGGCU
rfam:Perkinsus marinus ATCC 50983 gcontig_1104296717802, whole genome shotgun sequence.